UAACUGUUGAGGAAAAAGGACCCCCUCCCCCACCCCUCCCAUCUAGAAAUUGCUGGGCGUUUUAACGCCCACACCCCGGAAUUCCCAAUCCCCUCAAGGGGGGGGGGGGAAUGGAUAUUUUAUGGAACUACACAAUCAUGAAAAAUAUCAAGGGCGUGGGAAAUCACAGGAUUGGUCUCUUGUCAAAGCGUAUUUACAAAAUAAGAAGUCAAGGUGACUCAAAAUAAUAAUAUUAUGAUUAAGCAACUUUUAAAAAUAAACUGCGCAUGUACAGAGGUGAACAUAACAUGUGAGAUUAAACUGCUCAAGUAAAAUGUCUGAAACGACAA